GCAUCUGAAAUUAUUGAUCUGAAUAUGGCUGCUGCUGAGGUCUCCUUAUCAGUUGAUGGAGUUGAACACUAUCCAGAUGAGGGUGCCAUAAGUAUAGGUACCUCACACAGAGGUAUAGCUGAAGGAAAGCAAGGCGUAGUCUGGAGGAAACGGAACACCAAAUCUGAAGGACCAAACUUUAGGGUUCCUAAUACUAGUAAGGGGAGUGCGUUGCAGCGAGCACUUUUGAAGUUUGCUGAUCGGACAACCGAUUAUAUUAUCAACCCCUAUGUUGGGACAGAAUUUGAUCACUGUGAUGAGGCAUAUGAGUACUACAAUUUGUAUUCAUGGGAGUGUGGGUUCGGAAUCCGGUUGGGUAAGAAAAGGUGGUCAGAGAAGAAAAGGAAAAACAAUCAACCGGAUGGAACACGGUACCAGCUGGGCCAGGAAUUCUACUGCAGCUGCCGGGGGAUUCCCGAUGCAAAUGUGAAAACAAGCUCAUCGAAAACCAACUGCAAAGCGAUGCUUCGCUUGCACCGUACACAAGAUGAUGGCUGGGUAGUUGUGGAGCACAUUUCAGAACAUAAUCAUCCUUUGUCACAAACCUGUGGUGAGAAGAAGCAGUAGCCAUCGCAUCAUCAUCUGGACAAGUACACCAAGGAUCUGGUUCGUAUGUUAAGAGAGAACAACAUUGGUAUUACCAAGCUGUAUAGCAUCCUUGGCGAUUUCUUUGGGUGCAUGCAGAACGUGCCUGCAACCAAGAGAUGCUUGAAAACACUGUGUCAAAAGAUAAACCGUGAGCAAGCAGAAGACGAUAUCAAGAAAACUUUGAAUAUGAUAAGCGAGCUUCGUAGGAAUGAUCCUGGUUUUAUGUUUAGUGUUGAUACAGAUGAGGAUGGUCGGAUAAAGACAUUAAUGUGGACCAACAGCCGAAGCAGGAUGCAAUACGAGCAUUUUGGUGAUGUAGUCAGCUUUGACACCACAUUCAAAACAAACCUGUACGACAUGCCAUUUGGAUUAUUUGUUGGAGUAAACGAUCAUUUCCAAACUGUGUUGCUUGGCGGGGUGCUAAUGACUGAUGAGAAGAUAGAGAGUUCCAAAUGGGUCUUCCGGGAAUUUGCAUCACUCAUGGGCGGAAAAGAACCUUCCACAAUACUAACAGAUCAAUGUCGAGCGAUGGAGGUGGCUAUUGCAGAAGAGUGGAGGAACACUGUACAUCGUUGGUGUAAGUGGCAUGUACUUAAAAGGGUGAAAGAGUGUGUGGGCACAAAAUAUACCAGC